AACGCGAAGAACCUUACCUACCCUUGACAUCCAGAGAAUCCUGCAGAGAUGCGGGAGUGCCGAAAGGAAUUCUGAGACAGGUGCUGCAUGGCUGUCGUCAGCUCGUGUUGUGAGAUGUUGGGUUAAGUCCCGCAACGAGCGCAACCCUCAUCUUCAGUUGCCCCCGGGUAAGGCCGGGCACUCUGAAGAAACCGCCGGUGACAAGCCGGAGGAAGGCGGGGAUGACGUCAAGUCCUCAUGGCCCUUACGGACUGGGCUACACACGUACUACAAUGGUGGUGACAGUGGGCAGCGAAGGCGCGAGCCGGAGCCAAUCCCCAAAAGCCAUCUCAGUUCAGAUUGCACUCUGCAACUCGAGUGCAUGAAGCUGGAAUCGCUAGUAAUCGCAGAUCAGCACGCUGCGGUGAAUACGUUCCCGGGCCUUGUACACACCGAGUAUA
rnacentral:rRNA from 1 species